AUUGAACGCUGGCGGCAGGCUUAACACAUGCAAGUCGAGCGGGGGAAGGUAGCUUGCUACCGGACCUAGCGGCGGACGGGUGAGUAAUGCUUAGGAAUCUGCCUAUUAGUGGGGGACAACAUCUCGAAAGGGAUGCUAAUACCGCAUACGUCCUACGGGAGAAAGCAGGGGAUCUUCGGACCUUGCGCUAAUAGAUGAGCCUAAGUCGGAUUAGCUAGUUGGUGGGGUAAAGGCCUACCAAGGCGACGAGCUGUAGCGGGUCUGAGAGGAUGAUCCGCCACAGUGGGACUGAGACACGGGCCAGACUCCGACGGGAGGCAGCAGUGAGGAAUAUUGGACAAUGGGGGGAACCCUGAUCCAGCCAUGCCGCGUGUGUGAAGAAGGCCUUAUGGUUGUAAAGCACUUUAAGCGAGGAGGAGGCUACUCUAGUUAAUACCUAGGGAUAGUGGACGUUACUCGCAGAAUAAGCACCGGCUAACUCUGUGCCAGCCGCCGCUGUAA
rnacentral:rRNA from 1 species